rfam:Agaricus bisporus var. burnettii JB137-S8 unplaced genomic scaffold AGABI1scaffold_737, whole genome shotgun sequence.
AAGAGUGUAGUAUAAUCGGUAGUAUCGUGAUCUCCAAAAUCAUUGGUAGGUGUUCGAGCCACCUCACUCUUG